UAUAGGAGGAUCAUUGCAGGAGUGUGGAGCUCACUGCAUGAUGGGGGUCUUGGUCUCUCUCUAACAGAAUUACAGACAUGCCCUGAAAGAAGAGUCUGCCUUUCCUCCACAUCUGCCUGGAGUUUCCAGUGUUGAGGUCACUUCGAUCUUUCAAGUACUGCUUGGCAGUGCUAAUGGUAUUGAUGUACUCAGAAGAGCUACAGUUCCAGGAUUAAGUUUGCCCUUAGGGAAAAAAAAUAAGAAUUUGUUCUGCAUUAGCAUUUUUGCUAGAUGAAAUCCCACAAAUCCUAUUUAGGUAAUAAGUAAGGCACUUAUCACCAGAGACACAGUACAUUUAUGAAGCAGAUUUUAAGAAAUGUGCCUGAAACAAAGGGCCUCCAAAACAUGCAUAGAAAACCAAACAAAACCCUGAUAACGAAACAGUCAUAAAAAUACAACCUUCAUUGGAAGGGUGUUCUUUUGGACAAACUGUAUGGCUCAGAAGUUAGUCUCUUAAAUCUCAAGGUAGCUAGUUUGAAUCCAGCCCUGGUAAAUAGUAACUCAAAAUUAUUGCAAUCUAAUAGGUGUGAGUAUUUGGCAAACUUUAUUAAACGAGUUAGCGUUUAUAGACUGUUCCUAGUGGCCAAAUGUCCUAGUCACAGAACCACUGCACAAAUUGGCCAGCCUUGUUAGCAAUGUCACCAGAGAGAUCCGCUUUGAAUGGACUUUGAAACAAACUGCCCUUUCAUCUCUAAAGUUGACUUCUUCAGCUCACAUUAAUGGGGUGAGGAGAUGAA